CAAUAGCGUAUAUUAAAGUUGUUGCGGUUAAAAGCUCGUAGUUGGAUUUCUGCCGAGGACGUCCGGUCCGCCCUCUGGGUGAGUACAUGGCACGGCCUGGGCAUCUUCUUGGGGAACGUAUCUGCACUUGACUGUGUGGUGCGGUAUCCAGGACUUUUACUUUGAGGAAAUUAGAGUGUUUCAAGCAGGCACACGCCUUGAAUACAUUAGCAUGGAAUAAUAAUAUAGGGCGUAAGUCUUAUUUUGUUGGUUUCUAGGACAUACGCAAUGAUUAAUAGGGACAAUUGGGGGCAUUCGUAUUAACGCGUCAGAGGUGGAAUUCUUAGAUUGCGUUACGACGAACUACUGCGAAAGCAUUUGCCAAGGAUGUUUUCAUUGAUCAAGAACGAAAGUAUGGGGAUCGAAGACGAUUAGAUACCGU
rnacentral:rRNA from 1 species